UUUUUUAAUUAUUAUCGUUUUUUUCUCCAUGCAAUUUAUAUAAUUUUAUAGUUUAUCUUACACAUUUUAUCAAUCGUAUAUUUAUUCGUUUGAUACUCAAUUGGGAAUUUCCUUGUUCAUCUUCCCUUUCUUAAAAGCCACAGAUACCCAAAUAAUAACACUACUGCUUGUACUUUAUAUGAAAUUUUAAAGAACGUGAGAGAAUAUGGAGUUUUUCGAUAACACUUUCAAAAUGCUGCCACUCCGAU